UUGACCUCAAAUCCAGU
rnacentral:rRNA from 1 species